rnacentral:rRNA from 1 species
AUUGAACGCUGGCGGAAUGCUUUACACAUGCAAGUCGAACGGCAGCACGGGGCAACCUGGUGGCGAGUGGCGAACGGGUGAGUAAUACAUCGGAACGUGCCCAAUCGUGGGGGAUAACGUAGCGAAAGUUACGCUAAUACCGCAUACGAUCUACGGAUGAAAGCGGGGGAUCGCAAGACCUCGCGCGAGUGGAGCGGCCGAUGUCAGAUUAGGUAGUUGGUGGGGUAAAGGCUCACCAAGCCAACGAUCUGUAGCUGGUCUGAGAGGACGACCAGCCACACUGGAACUGAGACACGGUCCAGACUCCUACGGGAGGCAGCAGUGGGGAAUUUUGGACAAUGGGCGCAAGCCUGAUCCAGCCAUUCCGCGUGCAGGAUGAAGGCCUUCGGUUGUAAACGUGCUUUGUUACGGAACGAAACGGACGACGCUCUAAUACAGUUUG